rnacentral:lncRNA from 1 species
UCGACAGCCUUGGAUAGGUGGGAAAAAAGAGGACAGGCGUUAAAAUAUUAAAGACAACACAUUAUUUAUGCUUCCUAAUAGCUACUAAAGUAAACAAGAUCAAAGCAUUAUUCUUUUUUAGUGGCUUGAAAAAACUCUCCCUUACUAUUCAUAGUUUUAAAUAAGAAAUGACUAUUUUCUGACUUUACAAACCCUUUAAGGUUAAGCUCUUCCUCAGAUGUGAAUAUAAAAUCAAAAUAAUCAUGAAUCUCUGCUUUUCCCUUAUUGUGAGAGUCCACUUUAUAGAGACUGUACAGUUGUGGAAGCAUCUUCUUUCUUUACUCGCGAUGACUGUUUGUGUAAUUCAAUCAAAGGAAGACAGCAUGUUCAUAAUUUAGGACCUUUUGCACUAAUUAAAAUGUUUUUGAAAAAAUUACAAUAUGUGGUUAGAUUAAGCAAUUCAAUUGAUUUUGAAGAGUGAUCAUUUGUAGAAAGCACAGGAAUUUUAUGUAUUAAAUAUAGUACUUAAAAAAGAUUCAUGGGAGAAUUAGUGGAAAAUGGAAAACUUAUGGGAUAUCUGAAUUAAAUGUGAUUAAAAAGCUAGACCUCAGGCUAACAUCCUUAAUAUGAAAGACACUACUGACAAAUUAAUGGAACUUAUUAUAUCUCUUACUCAAACGAACACUUGGUUCUGAUAGUAGCACGUGUUUGGGUAAGAGAUCUUCCCUAACUAUAUUAACCAGGAAAAGUUUAUAUUAUGAUAUAUAGUAACAGACAUUGCCAUAAUGGACAUGCCUUAACACAACAAAAAAGUUUAUUCAUGCUUCUCGCUCCUUAUGGGAAAGACUGUUCCAAUCCCUUCAGGAGAUAGAUUGACAGACUCUGCCAUCUUAUAGCUCUAUCACCAGGAACACAGCAACUCAUUUUCUAUGGCAAAAAAAGAAAAUGACUGAAGGUCUCUAUGAACUUUUCAGAGCCCUAACUUGGAGGGGAAACAGAUCAUCAAUCAUAUUUCUUUGCCCAAAACUACUUACACAGUCCCACACAUCUGCGGGGAGACUGAAUCCUUGAACCCAGUUCAGGAGAAGUGGGGAUUUUGGUGAACAAUGCUAAUAUCAACCACUUUGACAUCACCAGUUGGUUUCUGGAUGCUAUGAAAAACACUCCAAUUUCUCUUGUGUAACUUCAAUAAAGUUACACUUUCAAAAACUAAUUCUCUAUAGGUGUUCAGCUCACUGUUGUAUAGAGUGAACUUUCCAAUUCCUUUCUCUUUGUAUUAAUUGUACAGUAUAGAUCGUCCCCAACUUAAAAUGUUUUACUUGAAUGUUUCAACUUUGUUAUAGUACAAAAGCUCAUUCAUGCAACCAUUUCAUUUCUUCACUUUCAGUACAGUGUUCAAUAAAUUACGUGAGAUAUUCUGUGUUUUAUUAUAAAAUAGGCUUUAUGUUAAUUUUGUCCACUGUAAGCUAAUUAAUAUAAGUGACAUGAGAAUGUUU